rnacentral:rRNA from 1 species
UACGAGGGGGGCGAGCGUUGUUCGGAAUUAUUGGGCGUAAAGGGUGCGUAGGCGGUUCCGCAAGUCCUGUGUGAAAUCUUCGGGCUCAACUCGAAGUCUGCACGGGAAACUGCGGGGCUUGAGUGUGGGAGAGGUGAGUGGAAUUCCCGGUGUAGCGGUGAAAUGCGUAGAGAUGUGGAGGAACACCAGUGGCGAAGGCGACUCUUUGGCC